rnacentral:lncRNA from 1 species
CUUAAAACACAGAUUGUUGGGCGUAGUCUUACAGUUUCUGAUGUAAUAGGUCUGGGAGGGGGCCCAAGAAUUUGCUUUUUUUUUUUUUUUUUGAGACAGGGUCUCACUUGGUUGCCCAGCCUGGAGUGCAGUGGUAUGAACAUGGCUCACUGCAGCCUUGCACUCCUGGGCUCAAGCAAACCUCCCACCUCAGCCCACCAAGUAGGUGGGACUACAGACGUGCGCCACCACGCCUGACUAAUUUUUGCAUUUUCUGUAGAAACAGGGAGUCUCACUUUGUUACCCAGGCUGGUCUCCAACUACUGGGCUCAAGCGAUCCUGCUUCAGCCUCCCAAAGUGCCAGGAUUACAGGCAUGAGCCACCAAGUCCUACCAGAAUUUGCAUUUUCAACAAGUAAUCAGGUUGUGCUGAUGCUGCUGGUCUGCAGGGCAUACUGGUUGAAGUUGCUCAAACAAUCUCAUUUAGUUGUGGCUAAUUAUCAGUCACACCUGUUGUUGUUCUCCACAUUUGCUGUGCAUCAGCGUCACCUGGGAAGUUUUCAAGCCCUAACCAAAUUAGUUAUUUGAGACUAUCUGGGGGCGUGGCCUGGGUAACAGUAUUUCUUAAAAGCUCCCCAAAUAACUCUAGUAAGUAUGUAUGUUAGGUUGAGAAUGACUGAGUUAAAUAAUAACUGAGUGGACUUUAUUUUAAUUUGCCAUUGUUCGUGAAGACAGUCAUUAGUUUUAAAUGUGAUUAGACAACCCUCCACAGAAGCCUUUGGGAACAAAAUUAAAUUUUGUAGAGACAGGGAGUCUCACUUUGUUACCCAGGCUGGUCUCAAAUUACUGGGCUCAAGCAAUCCUCCUGCUUCAGCCUCUCAAAGUGCCAGGAUUACAGGUAUGAGCCACCAAGUCCUACCAGAAUUUGCAUUUUGGAGUAUGCACCAUUAAACAGUUUAACUCUUCAGUUGAUCUCUUUUUAAAAAUCAAUUGUUCAGCAUCUGUGGAAUCUGAUUGUGAUGUGGUCAGGGACAGAAUGGGACUAAAAUGAGAAUAACCAUGCCAGACUCUUCAGGACACAACCUGGCUAUGGGAGGCUGAUUGUGUUUGCAUGGAGACACUAACUCCAAGUGGAUGGAUGACACCACUGGGACACUGUUGCUCAUGGACCACAGACAGUGGCGCUGGGACACCAAUGCUCAGACUAUAGAUGGUGGUGAUGGGACACCAUUGCUCAUGGACUGCAGACAGUGCUACGAGGACACCGAUGCUCAUGGACUACAGAUGCUGCUCUGAAGUGCUCUGCACUUUACUUUUCUCUAGUUCAUUUCCAAACGGGCCAAUUUCAAAAUUAUAAUUGAAAAGAGUAACUUGAAAACAGAUACUCCCAGCCAUGCCCUUGCCUCAAGACAUCUGCCGUCUCCCUGGCCUCUGAGGCAGGGUGGGAAGACACCGCCACCCCAUUCCAUAGGUGAAGAGCUCUUUCAUGGGGUACAUGCGCAUCCCACUCCUUGCUCGGCUCAGCACAAGCUCAGCAUUGCCAGAGAGAAAAACUGGAAGACAGAGACAAACAAAACAACAACUGGUAGGUGGGUGCUUGUGAUAAGUUAAAGAUAGGAAACCAGGGAACGCUGUGGGCUGCCACCCCAGGGGCUUGGUCGCCACCAAGAGUGAAGGAGGAACAACAGGGAGAGGAUAUGCACCAGAGUCCCCAUCGCCAGCCUAAGCAGGAGCACAGGAGCAACAGCGUUUGAUGCUUUCCUACAAGAGGCUGAAGAAGGAAACAAGUUGCUGAGGUUUUGAAGAAUCGUGGGUCGCAUUUCCUUGGAUCAGCUAAGCCCCGAACAGAUCCCUAAAGCAACUGGGCUUCUGGUCCUAUUUCACCUUCAAAGAGAAUCAAUCCUACCCUUCCAUCCUGAACAGUCUUCUAGGCUCAAGCACUCUGAAUUUUCCUAUCGUGGCUGGAGCUAUCGAUUUGGUGCUAGUCUCACUCUCUUUGUCAACCUCUCUUGUGCAUUUAUUAAUACAAACUUAUUAUUUUUUCCUAACUUAGUUUUUAACGUGAUUACAUUCACAGAUUUUUUAAAAGUUGAUCUGCUCUUGAAUUCCUGGUUUUAUUCUAUGUAAUUAUCAGUAUUUUUUUUCAGAAAUGGUCUCUUUUUAUUUGAAUGGUUGAUCUAGGACUCAGCCUAAAUAUUAUUCUAAUACGUAGCUGUACAUAACCAACAUGUCUAUGAUGUUAGUGAUGAACCAGAACCAACACAGAGAUGGUCUUUGCCUGAUAAAAGAUAAUCACAAUCCGAAAUAAAAUUACUAGGUAAAAUACAGGAUGCCUAGUUAAAUUUGAGUAUCAGAUAAACAAUGAAACAUUUUUAGUUACAUGUCCCAUGUAAUAUUUGUACUAAAUACUUAUACUAAAUUGUAAAGGACAUACUUAUACUAAAUUGUAAAGGACAUCCUUAUACUAAAGGAAAGCAUUGCUUAUCUGAAAUUCACAUUUAACUGGUUGUCCUAUAUUUUUAUUUGUUAAAUGUGGCAAUCUUAAUCAUAAACAAAUAAGCAAACAAGUAUAAGUCUUAGAAAAGAAUAAAUCAAUUUUUAAAUGAAUGCAUUUAGUGUUGUCAGGGAAUAAUUACAAUAUGUCAGCAAACCUUGGCAACCAUUGGAAUCCCGUUUCUGAAAAUUACAGUGUAGUGUGAAGUAGAAAAUAACAACGAUGGUUUUAACUCAUAUGAAACAUAGAAAAAAUUCAGAAACAAACUAGAUUUAUUGGUUUUAAGGAAAAGAAGCCAGAACAACUACCAGAAUACUGUUCUGUUAGGUAACUCUUCUUUUAACCACCUUCUUUAAUUACUCAGGAAAUAUUUCUGUGUUUUCCUCAACAACUGGAGUAGAUUUUCCCAUGAGUUUUAUGUUACACAAAGUUUAGUUAUUUUUAAAGUUAUCAAAUCAGCUCUUACUGGCUUGAAGUUAAGUAUCCAUGGAACUUGUAUUUCCUUUGUUUUCCUUUCAAAUGUCUCCCCAAAAUGCUUGUAACUGUGUAUCCUUUCUGUAAAUAAUUUUGCCACUUAUUGUGUAUUUUUCUGGGUCUGAACUUGUGUUCAUAUUUUCAGAAGGUGGGUAAAAAUGUUUUCUCCGCAGCUACAUAGUAUUUUCUCCAGGAAGGCUGGCGGGGGCAGAGUGCAAUAAUUGUUUUGGUUUGAAGGGACAGAGGUGAACUGUUCAUACAUUAAAAGAUUUGGGAGGCCGGGUGCGGUGGCUCACGCCUGUAAUCUGUAAUCCCAGCACUUUGGGAGGCCAAAGUGGGCGGAUUACUUGAGGUCAGGAGUUUGAGACCAGCCUGGUCAACAUGGUAAAACACCAUCUCUACUGAAAAUACAAAAAAAUUAGCUGGGCUUGGUGGCAGGUGCCUGUAAUCCCAGCUACUCGGGAGGCUGAGGCAGGAGAAUCGCUUGAACCCGGGAGCCGGAGGUUGCAGGAGCAGAGAUUGCACCACUACACUCCAGCCUGGGCAACAGAGUAAGACUCCAUCUCAAAAAAAUAAAAAUAAAAUAAAAUAACUAAAUAAAUAAAAGAUUUGGGAUAGUUAGCUAAUAUUCUGGAAUAAAAUUAUAAAACUGGGUUAACUAAAAAUAACAUUUAUCCAAGUAUUGAUAUAUUUUGAUUUUAUUAUUUAAAUGAUUACAAUCUCCUCAUAUAUACAAGUAAAUCUUGGGGCAUUUGAUAAAUUUCAUGUUUAUGCAUUCAUUGAGUCAGCCACUACACUUUUGUUGUGUGCCUAUUAACGUGCAAGUGGCCAUUCUAAGUGGCCAUUUGGCAAGUGCAGGUGAAUGAGACCAGCUUCUGCCUCCCAGGGAAGUGGCUGUUAAGUAGGGACGAUGGCAUGCAAAUCGGUAAUUAUAAUACAGAUUAAUAAAAGCCAUCAUGUGUUUGUAUACAAAGUCUCAUGAGUACAUGGGAGAGGAAGACAUUCAUUGCAUUCGGGGCUAAGGGGUACUCAGGUAUUUGAUGCAGGGGAAUGGACCAGUCAGUUGAACCUUGGGAGUUCUUCAAGCAAAGAGGGAAGAGAAAGGCAUUACAGUUGAGGGCACAGCAUACAGAAAGACUCAGUGGCCCAACAGAGCUUGGCACACUCAAGUGGCUGUAUUAUAGGGCUCACGGUGGGAAGCAGGAAGUAGCAAAUGUAAAGCAGGAAAGGAACUCAAGACCAGCUCAUCAUUAGCUUGUAAUGAUGCCAAGGGGAUUGGACUCUAUCUCAAGGAGAUGAAGAACCACUGAGGGAUGAGUACAGGAGGAAAUGAUUCCAUUUUUAUUGCAGAACCAUCACUCUGGAGGUUAUGUGAAAAUGGGUUGGAGAUGAGACUAGAGGCAAGAAGACUGGUUAAGAAGUUAAGAAAAUAGCCUAGGCCGGGCGCGGUGGCUCACGCCUGUAAUCCCAGCACUUUGGGAGGCCGAGGCGGGCAGAUCACG